rnacentral:tRNA from 1 species
AGAAUUUUAGUUUAAAAAAAAAUUUUAAAACAGUAAAUUGCAAGUUUAAAGAAGCCUGAGGCAGAUUCUU